GCCCAACCUCCCACCCGUGUAUACCGUACCUUGUUGCUUCGGCGGGCCCGCCGCGCAAGCGGCCGCCGGGGGGGCGUCAAACCCCCCUCCCUAGGCGAGCGCCCGCCGGAGACACCAACGUGAACACUGUCUGAAGUUUUGUUGUCUGAGUUCGAUUGUAUCGCAAUCAGUUAAAACUUUCAACAAUGGAUCUCUUGGUUCCGGCAUCGAUGAAGAACGCAGCGAAAUGCGAUAAUUAAUGUGAAUUGCAGAAUUCAGUGAAUCAUCGAGUCUUUGAACGCACAUUGCACCCCCUGGUAUUCCGGGGGGUAUGCCUGUCCGAGCGUCAUUGCUGCCCUCAAGCACGGCUUGUGUGUUGGGUCGUCGUCCCCCCCGGGGACGGGCCCGAAAGGCAGCGGCGGCACCGCGUCCGGUCCUCGAGCGUAUGGGGCUUUGUCACCCGCUCUUGUAGGCCCGGCCGGCGCUGGCCGACGCUGAAAAGCAACCAACUAUUUCUCCAGGUUGACCUCGGAUCAGGUAGGGAUACCCGCUGAACUUAAGCAUAUCAAUAAGCGGAGGA
rnacentral:rRNA from 1 species